rnacentral:rRNA from 1 species
UCUUACAAUUGCGAUGGGGGGACGGAGAAGGCUAGGUGGGCCUGGCGACGGUUGUCCAGGUUCAAGUGCGUAGGCUUAAGAGUUAGGUAAAUCCGGCUCUUUUUAAGGCUGAGACACGACGUCGAGCACCUACGGGUGUGAAGUCAUUGAUGCCAUGCUUCCAGGAAAAGCCUCUAAGCUUCAGAUUGUAAGGAAUCGUACCCCAAACCGACACAGGUGGUCGGGUAGAGAAUACCAAGGCGCUUGAGAGAACUCGGGUGAAGGAACUAGGCAAAAUGGUACCGUAACUUCGGGAGAAGGUACGCUCUUGAUGGUGAAGUCCCUUGCGGAUGGAGCUGACGAGAGUCGCAGAUACCAGGUGGCUGCAACUGUUUAUUAAAAACACAGCACUGUGCAAAAUCGUAAGAUGACGUAUACGGUGUGACGCCUGCCCGGUGCCGGAAGGUUAAUUG